UUUAGUAGUAAAUGGUAAGAUCAGGAAAUUUAAAGAAUUUGGCGGUGUUUAUUCUAAUUAGAGGAAUAUGGUUUUUAAUCGAUAAUCCACGAGGAUUUUACUUUUAUUUUUUUGUUUUGUAUACCUCCAUCUAAAAAAAUAUUUUUUAGAAGUAUUUUUUAAAUUUUAAAUAAAAUUGAAGUUAGGUCAAGGUGCAGAUUAUAUAGAAGUUAAAGUGUAUUACAUUAAAAUUACUUUUGGAAAAAAAUUGAAAUAUUUUUUAAAAUUGGAUUUAUAAGUAAAUUAAAUUAAAUUAUAUUUAUUUGAAUUAAGUUAAUUAACAUGC
rnacentral:rRNA from 1 species